rnacentral:tRNA from 1 species
ACCUGACUGGCUCAGUAGAUAGAGUAUGUGAUCCUUGAUCUUGAGGUUGUGAGUUCAAGUCCCAUAUUAGGUA